ensembl:lncRNA
AACGCGACCCGCGGCGGCCGCGCGGGACUGCUGGGAAGCGGUGGCGCCGCGGUGGGCUUGGAGAAAGUCGUGAGCUGAGGGACGCAGCCUUCUGUCCGUACCGGCACUGCAGGAGAAGGGCUGGCAGAAGGGGCACCCGCGCAGGCUCAGAUUGCACACAGAAGUGUGCACACAGUGCUCCCAGAAGCAUCAGUUGGGACAGAAAGAGUGGCUCCAGCCCCCCUCCCCCCCCCAACUCCAGGCAGUCACGUGCUCAUGUUCAGGAGUUCCACUACAGGGGGCUACAGGUGUCUGUCCAGUCUGUCCUCAGCAGCAAAGGAGACUUGCUAGGGACAGACUAUAUGAACUUCCCUCACCCCCUUUCCUCUGCUAAGCCUUGGGGGAUCAGCUAACCUCUGCAAGCUACCAAGAGGAAUCCAGGGUGCACCGACUGAAUCCAAACUGCAUCUCCUGAGCUAGCAGGGGGAUGGCAGGUGAUACGUGCUCUGCGCUUCUGCCUGAAGAGCUCAGCCAGGAGGUGGCAGCGCCUCUUGUACAGCACGCGGCCUGCAGGAAAAGAAGAGAUGGAGUUCUGGCAGCAGUUGAUAAUACAACGUUGUCACAGGUCAUUUUUAAUAAUUGAAAGAACAAUAAAAACUAUGUGUUUUAAUUCAGGAUUAACUUUAAGCCUGUUGUUUAUACAGAGGACAGUCAGCGUACGACCAUCUUCUAUUUGCUGUAUUAGAGAAGUCUCUAUCCAGCAAGAGGUUCAUGGUUCCUACUGUACAAUGGCAGGGGCAGAGUCCAUUUCAGACUCUAUCAAUACCUCAAAUUACGUCCACAUCCCCAGGAGUCCAGGCUCCUUCCAGGAGCUGACAAAAUGGC